UACGUAGGGGGCGAGCGUUGUCCGGAAUUAUUGGGCGUAAAGGGUGCGUAGGCGGGUCUUUAAGUCAGGGGUGAAAUCCUGGAGCUCAACUCCAGAACUGCCUUUGAUACUGAGGAUCUUGAGUUCGGGAGAGGUGAGUGGAACUGCGAGUGUAGAGGUGAAAUUCGUAGAUAUUCGCAAGAACACCAGUGGCGAAGGCGGCUCACUGGCCCGAUACUGACGCUGAGGCACGAAAGCGUGGGGAGCAAACAGG
rnacentral:rRNA from 1 species